GACGAACGCUGGCGGCGUGCCUAACACAUGCAAGUCGAGCGAAGUUAUUCCUUCGGGAAUAACUUAGCGGCGGACGGGUGAGUAACACGUGGGUAACCUGCCUUAUAGAGGGGAAUAGCCUUCCGAAAGGAAGAUUAAUACCGCAUAACAUUGAGUUUUCGCAUGGAAGCUUAAUCAAAGGAGUAAUCCGCUAUAAGAUGGACCCGCGGCGCAUUAGCUAGUUGGUGAGGUAACGGCUCACCAAGGCGACGAUGCGUAGCCGACCUGAGAGGGUGAUCGGCCACAUUGGGACUGAGACACGGCCCAGACUCCUACGGGAGGCAGCAGUGGGGAAUAUUGCACAAUGGGGGAAACCCUGAUGCAGCAACGCCGCGUGAGUGAUGAAGGCCUUCGGGUUGUAAAGCUCUGUCUUUGGGGACGAUAAUGACGGUACCCAAGGAGGAAGCCACGGCUAACUACGUGCCAGCCGCCGCAGUAAAAC
rnacentral:rRNA from 1 species